rnacentral:rRNA from 1 species
CUACGGGUUGCUGCAGUCGGGAAUAUUGCGCAAUGGAGGAAACUCUGACGCAGUGACGCCGCGUAUAGGAAGACGGUUUUCGGAUUGUAAACUAUUGUCGUUAGGGAAGAUAAAAGACAGUACCUAAGGAGGAAGCUCCGGCUAACUACGUGCCAGCAGCCGCGGUAAUACGUAGGGAGCAAGCGUUAUCCGGAUUUAUUGGGUGUAAAGGGUGCGUAGACGGGAAGACAAGUUAGUUGUGAAAUCCCUCGGCUUAACUGAGGAACUGCAACUAAAACUAUAUUUCUUGAGUGUUGGAGAGGAAAGUGGAAUUCCUAGUGUAGCGGUGAAAUGCGUAGAUAUUAGGAGGAACACCGGUGGCGAAGGCGACUUUCUGGACAAUAACUGACGUUGAGGCACGAAAGUGUGGGGAGCAAACAGGAUUAGAUACCCGCGUAGUC